rnacentral:rRNA from 1 species
AGCGAAUGCUGGCGGCAGGCUUAACACAUGCAAGUCGAGCGGGCACUUUCGGGUGUCAGCGGCGGACGGGUGAGUAACGCGUGGGAACGUGCCCUCUGGUUCGGAAUAACUCAGGGAAACUUGAGCUAAUACCGGAUACGCCCUUUUGGGGAAAGGCUUGCUGCCGGAGGAUCGGCCCGCGUCUGAUUAGCUAGUUGGUGAGGUAACGGCUCACCAAGGCGACGAUCAGUAGCUGGUCUGAGAGGAUGAUCAGCCACACUGGGACUGAGACACGGCCCAGACUCCUACGGGAGGCAGCAGUGGGGAAUAUUGGACAAUGGGCGCAAGCCUGAUCCAGCCAUGCCGCGUGAGUGAUGAAGGCCUUAGGGUUGUAAAGCUCUUUUAUCCGGGACGAUAAUGACGGUACCGGAGGAAUAAGCCCCGGCUAACUUCGUG